UACAGAGGGUGCAAACGUUGUUCGGAAUCACUGGGCAUAAAGCGCACGUAGGCGGUCCUUCAAGUGCGGAGUGAAAUCCCACGGCUUACCCGUGGAAUUGCUUCGCAUACUGGAGGACUCGAGGACGGUAGGGGAGAGCGGAACUCUUGGUGGAGCGGUGAAAUGCGUAGAUAUCAAGAGGAACACCAAAGGCGAAGGCAGCUCUCUGGUCCGUUUCUGACGCUGAGGUGCGAAAGCCAGGGUAGCGAACGGG
rnacentral:misc_RNA from 1 species